rnacentral:lncRNA from 1 species
GUUGUUUCGUUGCAGAGGGAGAAGGAACUUUGUGAGUUUGGGUUUUUGGGAAUAGUACAACAGAGGGAGAAAAAGCUGAAUGUCUUGUUGUUAAUAUCAGCAGAGAAGAAAUAAAGUACGUCACAUCAGCAUAAAAUUAAUAUCGUUGUUGUUAAUUCAACGGAGAUAAUCUUAUUCAUACAAUUUUCAUAACAUGAAGACUCAAUGUCUUUAUUUUUAAAACGGGAUACUAAACAAAAAUUCACCGCUUAACCUGAAAACGAAGCAAACAUUUAAAGCUUACAUUUGUAAUUGAAAUCACACUUUCACACUUUUUCUUCUUACAAUGUGUAUUUACAAACAAUCAGUAAGUGUUUCUCUUAUUCUAGUUUAAUCCUUUCCAUCAUAUAUU